UGUGAACUCGAAGAGUAGGGCGGGACACGUGGUAUCCUGUCUGAAUAUGGGGGGACCAUCCUCCAAGGCUAAAUACUCCUGACUGACCGAUAGUGAACCAGUACCGUGAGGGAAAGGCGAAAAGAACCCCGGCGAGGGGAGUGAAAAAGAACCUGAAACCGUGUACGUACAAGCAGUGGGAGCACCUUCGGGUGUGACUGCGUACCUUUUGUAUAAUGGGUCAGCGACUUAUAUUCUGUAGCAAGGUUAACCGUAUAGGGGAGCCGCAGGGAAACCGAGUCUUAACUGGGCGUUAAGUUGCAGGGUAUAGACCCGAAACCCGGUGAUCUAGCCAUGGGCAGGUUGAAGGUUGGGUAACACUAACUGGAGGACCGAACCGACUAAUGUUGAAAAAUUAGCGGAUGACUUGUGGCUGGGGGUGAAAGGCCAAUCAAACCGGGAGAUAGCUGGUUCUCCCCGAAAGCUAUUUAGGUAGCGCCUCGUGAAUUCAUCUUCGGGGGUAGAGCACUGUUUCGGCUAGGGGGUCAUCCCGACUUACCAACCCGAUGCAAACUACGAAUACCGAAGAAUGUUAUCACGGGAGACACACGGCGGGUGCUAACGUCCGUCGUGAAGAGGGAAACAACCCAGACCGCCAGCUAAGGUCCCAAAGUCAUGGUUAAGUGGGAAACGAUGUGGGAAGGCACAGACAGCCAGGAUGUUGGCUUAGAAGCAGCCAUCAUUUAAAGAAAGCGUAAUAGCUCACUGGUCGAGUCGGCCUGCGCGGAAGAUGUAACGGGGCUAAACCAUGCACCGAAGCUGCGGCAGCGACACUAUGUGUUGUUGGGUAGGGGAGCGUUCUGUAAGCCUGCGAAGGUGACCUGUGAGGGUUGCUGGAGGUAUCAGAAGUGCGAAUGCUGACAUAAGUAACGAUAAAGCGGGUGAAAAGCCCGCUCGCCGGAAGACCAAGGGUUCCUGUCCAACGUUAAUCGGGGCAGGGUGAGUCGACCCCUAAGGCGAGGCCGAAAGGCGUAGUCGAUGGGAAACAGGUUAAUAUUCCUGUACUUGGUGUUACUGCGAAGGGGGGACGGAGAAGGCUAUGUUAGCCGGGCGACGGUUGUCCCGGUUUAAGCAUGUAGGCUGGUUGUCCAGGCAAAUCCGGAUAAUCAAGGCUGAGGUGUGAUGACGAGGCACUACGGUGCUGAAGUAACAAAUGCCCUGCUUCCAGGAAAAGCCUCUAAGCAUCAGGUAACAUUAAAUCGUACCCCAAACCGACACAGGUGGUCAGGUAGAGAAUACCAAGGCGCUUGAGAGAACUCGGGUGAAGGAACUAGGCAAAAUGGUGCCGUAACUUCGGGAGAAGGCACGCUGGUGUGUAGGUGAAGUCCCUGCGGAUGGAGCUGAGACCAGUCGAAGAUACCAGCUGGCUGCAACUGUUUAUUAAAAACACAGCACUGUGCAAACACGAAAGUGGACGUAUACGGUGUGACGCCUGCCCGGUGCCGGAAGGUUAAUUGAUGGGGUUAUCCGUAAGGAGAAGCUCUUGAUCGAAGCCCCGGUAAACGGCGGCCGUAACUAUAACGGUCCUAAGGUAGCGAAAUUCCUUGUCGGGUAAGUUCCGACCUGCACGAAUGGCGUAAUGAUGGCCAGGCUGUCUCCACCCGAGACUCAGUGAAAUUGAACUCGCUGUGAAGAUGCAGUGUACCCGCGGCAAGACGGAAAGACCCCGUGAACCUUUACUAUAGCUUGACACUGAACAUUGAGCCUUGAUGUGUAGGAUAGGUGGGAGGCUUUGAAGCGUGGACGCCAGUCUGCGUGGAGCCAACCUUGAAAUACCACCCUUUAAUGUUUGAUGUUCUAACGUUGGCCCCUUACCGGGGUUGCGGACAGUGUCUGGUGGGUAGUUUGACUGGGGCGGUCUCCUCCCAAAGCGUAACGGAGGAGCACGAAGGUUAGCUAAUCCUGGUCGGACAUCAGGAGGUUAGUGCAAUGGCAUAAGCUAGCUUGACUGCGAGCGUGACGGCGCGAGCAGGUGCGAAAGCAGGUCAUAGUGAUCCGGUGGUUCUGAAUGGAAGGGCCAUCGCUCAACGGAUAAAAGGUACUCCGGGGAUAACAGGCUGAUACCGCCCAAGAGUUCAUAUCGACGGCGGUGUUUGGCACCUCGAUGUCGGCUCAUCACAUCCUGGGGCUGAAGUAGGUCCCAAGGGUAUGGCUGUUCGCCAUUUAAAGUGGUACGCGAGCUGGGUUUAGAACGUCGUGAGACAGUUCGGUCCCUAUCUGCCGUGGGCGCUGGAGAAUUGAGGGGGGCUGCUCCUAGUACGAGAGGACCGGAGUGGACGCAUCACUGGUGUUCGGGUUGUCAUGCCAAUGGCACUGCCCGGUAGCUAAAUGCGGAAGAGAUAAGUGCUGAAAGCAUCUAAGCACGAAACUUGCCCCGAGAUGAGUUCUCCCUGAGACUUUAAGUCUCCUGAAGGAACGUU
rnacentral:rRNA from 1 species